GAGGGUAUAGCUCAGGGGUAGAGUGAGUGCUUAGCAUGCAUGAGGUCCUGGGUUUCACCCCCAGUACCAUCG
rnacentral:tRNA from 1 species